rnacentral:lncRNA from 1 species
GCUCAUCGACGCCAACCACAACAUGCAGAUCUGGACCACUGGAGAAUACUCCUUCAAGAUCUUUCCAGAGAAAAACAUUCGUGGCUUCAAGCUCCCAGACACACCUCAAGGCCUCCUGGGGGAGGCCCGGAUGCUCAAUGCCAGCAUUGUGGCAUCCUUCGUGGAGCUACCGCUGGCCAGCAUUGUCUCACUUCAUGCCUCCAGCUGCGGUGGUAGGCUGCAGACCUCACCCGCACCGAUCCAGACCACUCCUCCCAAGGACACUUGUAGCCCGGAGCUGCUCAUGUCCUUGAUCCAGACAAAGUGUGCCGACGACGCCAUGACCCUGGUACUAAAGAAAGAGCUUGUUGCGCAUUUGAAGUGCACCAUCACGGGCCUGACCUUCUGGGCCUCUACCUCAGCCCACACUUCCUCCAGGCCUCCAACACCAUCGAGCCGGGGCAGCAGAGCUUUGUGCAGGUCAGAGUGUCCCCAUCCGUCUCCGAGUUCCUGCUCCAGUUAGACAGCUGCCACCUGGACUUGGGGCCUGAGGGAGGCACCGUGGAACUCAUCCAGGGCCGGGCGGCCAAGGGCAACUGUGUGAGCCUGCUGUCCCCAAGCCCCGAGGGUGACCCGCGCUUCAGCUUCCUCCUCCACUUCUACACAGUACCCAUACCCAAAACCGGCACCCUCAGCUGCACGGUAGCCCUGCGUCCCAAGACCGGGUCUCAAGACCAGGAAGUCCAUAGGACUGUCUUCAUGCGCUUGAACAUCAUCAGCCCUGACCUGUCUG